ACGGGUGAGUAAUGUCUGGGAAACUGCCUGAUGGAGGGGGAUAACUACUGGAAACGGUAGCUAAUACCGCAUGACGUCUUCGGACCAAAGUGGGGGACCUUCGGGCCUCACGCCAUCAGAUGUGCCCAGAUGGGAUUAGCUAGUAGGUGGGGUAAUGGCUCACCUAGGCAACGAUCUCUAGCUGGUCUGAGAGGAUGACCAGCCACACUGGAACUGAGACACGGUCCAGACUCCUACGGGAGGCAGCAGUGGGGAAUAUUGCACAAUGGGCGCAAGCCUGAUGCAGCCAUGCCGCGUGUAUGAAGAAGGCCUUCGGGUUGUAAAGUACUUUCAGCGAGGAGGAAGGCAUUGUGGUUAAUAACCACAGUGAUUGACGUUACUCGCAGAAGAAGCACCGGCUAACUCCGUGCCAGCAGCCGCGGUAAUACGGAGGGUGCAAGCGUUAAUCGGAAUUACUGGGCGUAAAGCGCACGCAGGCGGUUGAUUAAGUCAGAUGUGAAAUCCCCGAGCUUAACUUGGGAACUGCAUUUGAAACUGGUCAGCUAGAGUCUUGUAGAGGGGGGUAGAAUUCCAGGUGUA
rnacentral:rRNA from 1 species